GGUUUUAGUGUUGUUAAUUGUGUUCCUCUUCUUGUAUUACCUUGAUCCAAGAUUAAGGACUGUGUGUUACUGUGUUGUAAUAUCUCCAGAGCUUCUAAGCAAGGAGAUAAUGUGUAUGAACCAUUCAUAAGCUUUGAAGUACGGAAUUGGUGGAUGUUUUAAGAAGUGUGUCUUCAUCUGUAAACUGUAACGUGUACGAUCACAGUGGCUGUGAUUAAGAGGAG
rnacentral:lncRNA from 1 species